rnacentral:rRNA from 1 species
UCAGGACGAACGCUGGCGGCGUGCCUAAUACAUGCAAGUCGAACGGUCUUUCUAUGGAAGCUUGCUUCCACUGAGAAGAUAGUGGCGAACGGGUGAGUAACACGUGGGUAACCUGCCCAUAAGAGGGGGAUAACAUCCGGAAACGGGUGCUAAUACCGCAUAGUUUUCUUGAUCGCAUGAUUGAGAAAGGAAAGACGGCCUUUGUGCUGUCGCUUAUGGAUGGACCCGCGGCGUAUUAGUUAGUUGGUGAGGUAACGGCUCACCAAGACGAUGAUACGUAGCCGACCUGAGAGGGUGAUCGGCCACAUUGGGACUGAGACACGGCCCAAACUCCUACGGGAGGCAGCAGUAGGGAAUCUUCCGCAAUGGACGAAAGUCUGACGGAGCAACGCCGCGUGAGUGAAAGAAGGUUUUCGGAUCGUAAAACUCUGUUGUCAGAGAAGAACAAGUUGGAGAGUAACUGCUCCAGCCUUGACGGUAUCCGACCAGAAAGCCACGGCUAACUACGUGCCAGCAGCCGC